CCCCCCUCAAGGUCGCACCUGGGGAGUUUUCAGUACUCUACCAGUCUCGACUACGGGAGGGAGAGUCAAGCAGAGGCAUUUCCAUUCCUAGCUUGGGCAGUGGCUAGUGAGCGGAAGGCAAUCUGUUACAAAU